AGAGAACCUGCCCUUCGGGGUAAAUCUCCCACCCUAUGUUUACAUACCUUUGUUGCUUUGGCGGGCCCGUCUCACGACCACCGGCGGUAUUUCCGCUGGUCAGUGCCCGCCAGAGGACCCCAACUCUAAAUUUUAUGUCGUCUGAGUACUAUAUAAUAGUUA
rnacentral:misc_RNA from 1 species